UACAGAGGUCUCAAGCGUUGUUCGGAUUCAUUGGGCGUAAAGGGUGCGUAGGUGGCGCCGUAAGUCGGGUGUGAAAUUUCGGAGCUUAACUCCGAAACUGCAUUCGAUACUGCGGUGCUUGAGGACUGAGAGGAGACUGGAAUUCAUGGUGUAGCAGUGAAAUGCGUAGAGAUCAUGAGGAAGACCAGUGGCGAAGGCGGGUCUCUGGACAGUUCCUGACACUGAGGCACGAAGGCCAGGGGAGCAAACGGG
rnacentral:rRNA from 1 species